CCUACGGGUGGCAGCAGUGAGGAAUAUUGGUCAAUGGACGAGAGUCUGAACCAGCCAAGUAGCGUGAAGGAUGACUGCCCUAUGGGUUGUAAACUUCUUUUAUAUGGGAAUAAAACGUUCCACGUGUGGGAUUUUGUAUGUAUCAUAUGAAUAAGGAUCGGCUAACUCCGUGCCAGCAGCCGCGGUAAUACGGAGGAUCCGAGCGUUAUCCGGAUUUAUUGGGUUUAAAGGGAGCGUAGGUGGAUUGUUAAGUCAGUUGUGAAAGUUUGCGGCUCAACCGUAAAAUUGCAGUUGAAACUGGCAGUCUUGAGUACAGUAGAGGUGGGCGGAAUUCGUGGUGUAGCGGUGAAAUGCGUAGAUAUCACGAAGAACUCCGAUUGCGAAGGCAGUUCACUGGACUGCAACUGACACUGAGGCUCGAAAGUGUGGGUAUCAAACAGGAGUAGAUACCCCAGUAGUC
rnacentral:rRNA from 1 species